GAUGAACGCUGGCGGCGUGCUUAACACAUGCAAGUCGAACGGAAAGACCCUGCUUUUGCGGGGUUCUCGAUUGGCGAAGGGGUGUGUAACACGUGAGUAACCUGCCCCUGACUGUGUGAUAUCAUCAGGAAACUGCGGCUAAUACCGGCUAGGAGCUCCUGCUGCAUGGUGGUGGUUGGAAAGUGUCGGCGGUGGGGGAUGGACUCGCGGGUUAUGAGCUUGUUGGGGGGGUAGUGGCUUACCAAGGCUUUGACGGGUAGCCGGCCUGAGAGGUUGACCAGCGACAUUGGGACUGCGAGACGGCGCAGACUCCUACGGGAGGCAGCAGUGGGGAGUAUUGCACAGUGGGGGGAAGCCUGAUGCGGAAGCGCCGCGUGCGGGAUGACGGCCUUGGGGUUGUGAACCGCUUUCGCCUGUGACGAAGCGUGAGUGACGGUAAUGAGUCAAGAAGCACCGGCUAACUACGUG
rnacentral:rRNA from 1 species